GGGCGGUUAGCUCAGUUGGUUAGAGCACCUGCCUUACAAGCAGGGGGUCACAGGUUCGAGUCCUGUACCGCCCACCA
rnacentral:tRNA from 1 species